rnacentral:rRNA from 1 species
UACGAAGGGGGCUAGCGUUGCUCGGAAUCACUGGGCUUAAAGCGUGUGUAGGCGGAUCGGUAAGUACCUUGUGAAAUCCCACAGCUUAACUGUGGAACUGCUUGGUAUACUGCCAGUCUUGAGCCAGCUAGGGGCGACCGGAACAAAUGGUGGAGCGGUGAAAUGCGUAGAUAUCAUUUGGAACGCCAAUGGUGAAAACAGGUCGCUGGGGCUGUGCUGACGCUGAGACACGAAAGCCAGGGGAGCAAACGGG